rnacentral:rRNA from 1 species
GGAAACGAUAGAGAAAGCUUGCUUUUUCUAGGCGUCGACCGGCGCACGGGUGAGUAACGCGUAUCCAACCUGCCCAUCACUUGGAGAUAACCUUGCGAAAGUAAGACUAAUACCCAAUGAUAUCUCAAGAAGACAUCUGAAUGAGAUUAAAGAUUUAUCGGUGAUGGAUGGGGAUGCGUCUGAUUAGCUUGUUGGCGGGGUAACGGCCCACCAAGGCGACGAUCAGUAGGGGUUCUGAGAGGAAGGUCCCCCACAUUGGAACUGUGACACGGUCCAAACUCCUACGGGAGGCAGCAGUGAGGAAUAUUGGUCAAUGGGCGAGAGCCUGAACCAGCCAAGUAGCGUGCAGGAAGACGGCCCUAUGGGUUGUAAACUGCUUUUAUAAGGGAAUAAAGUGAGUCUCGUGAGACUUUUUGCAUGUACCUUAUGAAUAAGGACCGGCUAAUUCCGUGCCAGCAGCCGCGGUAAUACGGAAGGUCCGGGCGUUAUCCGGAUUUAUUGGGUUUAAAGGGAGCGUAGGCCGGAGAUUAAGCGAGUUGUGAAAUGUAGAUGCUCAACAUCUGCACUGCAGCGCGAACUGGUUUCCUUGAGUACGCACAAAGUGGGCGGAAUUCGUGGUGUAGCGGUGAAAUGCUUAGAUAUCACGAAGAACUCCGAUUGCGAAGGCAGCUCACUGGAGCGCAACUGACGCUGAAGCUCGAAAGUGCGGGUAUCGAACAGGAUUAGAUACCCUGGUAGUCCGCACGGUAAACGAUGGAUGCCCGCUGUUGGUCUGAAUAGGUCAGCGGCCAAGCGAAAGCAUUAAGCAUCCCACCUGGGGAGUACGCCGGCAACGGUGCAACUCAAAGGAAUUGACGG